GAUGAACGCUGGCGGCGUGCUUAACACAUGCAAGUCGAACGGAAAGGCCCCUGCUUGCAGGGGUACUCGAGUGGCGAACGGGUGAGUAACACGUGGGUGAUCUGCCCUGCACUUCGGGAUAAGCCUGGGAAACUGGGUCUAAUACCGGAUAGGACGAUGGUUUGGAUGCCAUUGUGGAAAGUUUUUUCGGUGUGGGAUGGGCUCGCGGCCUAUCAGCUUGUUGGUGGGGUAAUGGCCUACCAAGGCGUCGACGGGUAGCCGGCCUGAGAGGGUGUACGGCCACAUUGGGACUGAGAUACGGCCCAGACUCCUACGGGAGGCAGCAGUGGGGAAUAUUGCACAAUGGGCGCAAGCCUGAUGCAGCGACGCCGCGUGGGGGAUGACGGCCUUCGGGUUGUAAACUCCUUUCGCUAGGGACGAAGCGCAAGUGACGGUACCUGGAGAAGAAGCACCGGCUAACUACGUG
rnacentral:rRNA from 1 species